CGUCCGUGUGAAUGCUGUCUCACUGCAUCAACUACAUUUUAUUGUACAACACUAACUGUGCUAACUAGGCCUCACCUCCUAGAGAAAACACAGGCUACAAUGGUGUGUGUGUGUGGGGUGGGGGCUUUUUCUCCAGGAAAAAACCUGGAGCAGAACUCAACUCAAAAGGUGGGAUCCAUCCUCAUCAGGCAGAAAAGGAUAGGCACUUACCCCUGAACACCAACCGGGAGGACGUCAUCAGUCUCAAGGCCAAACAUGUCCAGAGCAUGGAUCAGCAGUUGGAGAGAGAUCAACAGGAGCAGGAGGGGCAGAGGGAGAGGCCAUCUUCAGAGUCCUGCUGCUUGUUCUCAAUACCAAUCUAGUGCACUUCAAACAGCGACCCUGCCGUACCCAGCAGGAAGAGUCCCUCACCUGGCCACCACUACCAGCAUCUUUCCUGCUCUUAGCAGAAACCCAUACCUGACUCCUGCUACAUCUUCCACUGCGACUGCUGCAAGUGGUCCUGCUCAGUUUGCAACACUGCGAGCAGAGACCCUGUGA
rnacentral:lncRNA from 1 species